GCCAGGGUGGCAUAGUGGUUUGAGCAUCAAGCUCUGGCUCUGGAAACCAGGGUUCGAUUCUCUGUUUGGCC